rnacentral:rRNA from 1 species
GACGAACGCUGGCGGCGUGCUUAACACAUGCAAGUCGAACGGAAAGGCCCUGCUUUUGUGGGGUGCUCGAGUGGCGAACGGGUGAGUAACACGUGAGUAACCUGCCCUUGACUUUGGGAUAACUUCAGGAAACUGGGGCUAAUACCGGAUAGGAGCUCCUGCUGCAUGGUGGGGGUUGGAAAGAUUCGGCGGUUGGGGCUGGACUCGCGGCUUAUCAGCUUGUUGGUGGGGUAGUGGCUUACCAAGGCUUUGACGGGUAGCCGGCCUGAGAGGGUGACCGGCCACAUUGGGACUGGGAUACGGCCCAGACUCCUACGGGAGGCAGCAGUGGGGAAUAUUGCACAAUGGGCGGAAGCCUGAUGCAGCAACGCCGCGUGCGGGAUGACGGCCUUCGGGUUGUAAACCGCUUUCGCCGGUGACGAAGCGUGAGUGACGGUAAUGGGUAAAGAAGCACCGGCUAACUACGUG